UGGAUCCAGACUUUGAUUCUGGCUCAGGAUGAACGCUAGCUACAGGCUUAACACAUGCAAGUCGAGGGGAAACGAUAUUGGAAGCUUGCUUCCGAUAGGCGUCGACCGGCGCACGGGUGAGUAACGCGUAUCCAACCUGCCCACCACUUGGGGAUAACCUUGCGAAAGUAAGACUAAUACCCAAUGAUAUCUCUAGAAGACAUCUGAAAGAGAUUAAAGAUUUAUCGGUGAUGGAUGGGGAUGCGUCUGAUUAGCUUGUUGGCGGGGUAACGGCCCACCAAGGCGACGAUCAGUAGGGGUUCUGAGAGGAAGGUCCCCCACAUUGGAACUGAGACACGGUCCAAACUCCUACGGGAGGCAGCAGUGAGGAAUAUUGGUCAAUGGACGAGAGUCUGAACCAGCCAAGUAGCGUGCAGGAAGACGGCCCUAUGGGUUGUAAACUGCUUUUAUAAGGGAAUAAAGUUAGUCACGUGAGACUUUUUGCAUGUACCUUAUGAAUAAGGACCGGCUAAUUCCGUGCCAGCAGCCGCGGUAAUACGGAAGGUCCGGGCGUUAUCCGGAUUUAUUGGGUUUAAAGGGAGCGUAGGCCGGAGAUUAAGCGUGUUGUGAAAUGUAGACGCUCAACGUCUGCACUGCAGCGCGAACUGGUUUCCUUGAGUACGCACAAAGUGGGCGGAAUUCGUGGUGUAGCGGUGAAAUGCUUAGAUAUCACGAAGAACUCCGGUUGCGAAGGCAGCUCACUGGAGCGCAACUGACGCUGAAGCUCGAAAGUGCGGGUAUCGAACAGGAUUAGAUACCCUGGUAGUCCGCACGGUAAACGAUGGAUGCCCGCUGUUGGUCUGAAUAGGUCAGCGGCCAAGCGAAAGCAUUAAGCAUCCCACCUGGGGAGUACGCCGGCAACGGUGCAACUCAAAUGAAUUGACGGA
rnacentral:rRNA from 1 species